rnacentral:rRNA from 1 species
CCCCUAGAUGUUCUGGGCCGCACGCGCGCUACACUGAACAGUUCAACAAGUCUUAACCUUGGCCGAUAGGUCUGGGUAAUCUUUGGACGCUGUUCGUGAUUGGGAUAGACCUUUGCAAUUAUGGGUCUUCAACGAGGAAUUCCUAGUAAACGCAAGUCAUCAGCUUGCAUUGAUUACGUCCCUGCCCUUUGUACACACCGCCCGUCGCACCUACCGAUUGAAUGGUCCGGUGAAAUCUCGGGACGGCGGCUCGGUCGCUUGCGUCCGACUGCUGAAACUUGAUUAAACCAUAUCAUUUAGAGGAAGGUGAANUCGUAACA